rnacentral:rRNA from 1 species
AGAGUUUGAUCCUGGCUCAGAUUGAACGCUGGCGGCAGGCUUAACACAUGCAAGUCGAGCGGGGAAGGGUAGCUUGCUACCUGACCUAGCGGCGGACGGGUGAGUAAUGCUUAGGAAUCUGCCUAUUAGUGGGGGACAACAUUCCGAAAGGAAUGCUAAUACCGCAUACGCCCUACGGGGGAAAGCAGGGGAUCUUCGGACCUUGCGCUAAUAGAUGAGCCUAAGUCAGAUUAGCUAGUUGGUGGGGUAAAGGCCUACCAAGGCGACGAUCUGUAGCGGGUCUGAGAGGAUGAUCCGCCACACUGGGACUGAGGCACGGCCCAGACUCCUACGGGAGGCAGCAGUGGGGAAUAUUGGACAAUGGGCGAAAGCCUGAUCCAGCCAUGCCGCGUGUGUGAAGAAGGCCUUUUGGUUGUAAAGCACUUUAGGCGAGGAGGAGGCUACUUGGAUUAAUACUCUAGGAUAGUGGACGUUACUCGCAGAAUAAGCACCGGCUAACUCUGUGCCAGCAGCCGCGGUAAUACAGAGGGUGCGAGCGUUAAUCGGAUUUACUGGGCGUAAAGCGUGCGUAGGCGGCUUUUUAAGUCGGAUGUGAAAUCCCUGAGCUUAACUUAGGAAUUGCAUUCGAUACUGGGAAGCUAGAGUAUGGGAGAGGAUGGUAGAAUUCCAGGUGUAGCGGUGAAAUGCGUAGAGAUCUGGAGGAAUACCGAUGGCGAAGGCAGCCAUCUGGCCUAAUACUGACGCUGAGGUACGAAAGCAUGGGGAGCAAACAGGAUUAGAUACCCUGGUAGUCCAUGCCG